CACGGAGUUAGCCGGGGUUUCCUUUAACGGUACCGUCAAUGUCGCGGGCUGUUAACCCGCAACCCAUUCGUCCCAUUCGACAGGAGUUUACGACCCGAAGAUCUUCAUCCUCCACGCGGCGUUGCGUCGUCAGGCUUGCGCCCAUUGCGAACAAUUCCCCACUGCUGCCUCCCGUAGGAGUCUGGGCCGUGUCUCAGUCCCAGUGUGUCCGUCCGCCCUCUCAGGCCGGAUACUGAUCGUUGCCUUGGUAGGCCAUUACCCCACCAACUAGCUAAUCAGACGCGGGCCCCUCUCCGAGUGCCAGGUCUUAGCGAUCCCCGGCUUUGAUCUCCGCCUCUUCAAGGCAGGAUGUUAUGCGGUAUAGCGUCCCUUUCGGGACGUUACUCCCCCGCUCGAGGCAGGUCCACCCACGUGUUACUCACCCGUUUGCCCUACUCUACUUCGCCCCUUGCCGGAGCUUUUCGCGUUCGACUUGCAUGUGUUAGGCACGCCGCCAGCGUUGAUUCUGAGCCAGGAUCAAACUCU
rnacentral:rRNA from 1 species